GAUUUGCCUUAUGAAGAUAUCAAUGACUUGGAGGAUGCUCUGGAUGAUCAUGAUGCACCUCCGGCUGAAGAUGAUACAGUCGGUGAGUUUAACUUGGAAGAUGCCGUGGAGCCCAGUGUUCACAAAUCGCUGAAUGCAGAGCCUG